UGAUAUGUAGAGUACUAUUUAAAUGACUGUGACUGAUUCUUAACCUGGUCUUUACGUCCUCCUCUCUUCUGUUGCUCCCUCUGUAUUUGACUUUAUCUAUUUCCCUCUGAAUUGAGUAUAAAUGUCUUCCCUUUGUCUGAUUGUUCUAAUAUUGUUGCCAUUCCUGUUUAAUUUUACUCCAUGUGACUCGUUUCCCCUCUGACUUAGAUCAUUUGAUGUUAAUAUCAAUCCUCUCUUUCUUUACAGCUUCCUUUGCCAACCUGUCCACCUUUUCAUUUCCUGCUAUACCUGAAUGUGCUGGAACCCACAUGAACAUCACAUCUGUCCCCUGUUUAACCACCUGGGAAUGUUAACUCCAAGUCUACUUCAGCUGUCUCAAGCAUCCACAUUGGAACUGGUGGCCAUAAAACAGUUGGACUGAUAUCUUUGUCAUACACUCCCAUAUCUCUCGCCACUCUAUCCCCUAUCCAUCCAAAACUGGACUUGAUUGUUCUCUCUUUUUCCCAGCAAUCCUUUCACACUGAUUUUGUUGGGUGACUAUCUCCAUGUCCUCUCAAGUUCAGCCAAUAAUUUGCUAAUAGCUGUUUCCUCCUUAAACAUAGUGGCAUCUCUCCUACUUCUACCUGAAGUGCACAUAUUGGAGAUGAUUUCACUGCCCCAAUACAUAUCCUAAGAGCCUGUGCCUGAAUCAUUUCUAACUGUGUUGUCUUUGCUGCAGAUCCAUAUACCACACUCCCAUACUCAAUCCUAGUUCUAAUUAACACCACAUAUAUAUAUUUUAAGGCAGCAACAUCAGCUCCCCAAUCCAUUCCUACAAGACAUCUCAUUACAUUUAUUACUUUUUU